rnacentral:tRNA from 1 species
UUCCUGGUGGUCUAGUGGCUAGGAUUUGGCACUUUCACUGCCGCAGCCCAGGUUCGAUUCCUGGCCAGGGAA